rnacentral:misc_RNA from 1 species
AGAAGAAUCAACAAUGGGUGUGGCAUGUUGAGUUGGGUUGGAAAUUUUUACCUUGUCUGCCGCUGCGUUGCCUUGAAUCAAAGAGAUAAGCAUAUUCUCAAUUCUUGUGAAUCUCUGUUCUUGUUCUACUCUUAUUACUGUGAGACCUUUCAUUUUGAUAAGGUUCCUCUCUAUCUGCGCAUCUCUGUCUUCUAUCUUUUCCAUUCUAUUUUCCAUUGUGUGUUUGGGAUCCGGGGUUUGAAGGAG